rnacentral:rRNA from 1 species
CCUACGGGGGGCAGCAGUGGGGAAUAUUGCACAAUGGGGGAAACCCUGAUGCAGCGACGCCGCGUGAGUGAAGAAGUAAUUCGUUAUGUAAAGCUCUAUCAGCAGGGAAGAAAAUGACGGUACCUGAGUACGAAGCCCCGGCUAACUACGUGCCAGCAGCCGCGGUAAUACGGAGGAUGCGAGCGUUAUCCGGAUUCAUUGGGUUUAACGGGUGCGCAGGCGGGCCUUUAAGCCGGCGGUGAAAUCGCGGGGCUCAACCCCGCCGAGCCGUCGGAACUGGGGGCCUUGAGUGCGGCGGAGGCAUGCGGAAUGCGCGGUGUAGCGGUGAAAUGCAUAGAUAUCGCGCAGAACCCCGAUUGCGAAGGCAGCGUGCCGUGCCGCCACUGACGCUGAGGCACGAAAGCAUGGGGAUCAAACAGGAUUAGAUACCCGAGUAGUC